ACUCCUACGGGAGGCAGCAGUGGGGAAUAUUGCACAAUGGGGGAAACCCUGAUGCAGCCAUGCCGCGUGUGUGAAGAAGGCCUUCGGUUGUAAAGCACUUUCAGUAGGGAGGAAGGUAGUGUAGUUAACACCUGCAUUAUUUGACGUUACCUACAGAAGAAGCACCGGCUAACUCCGUGCCAGCAGCCGCGGUAAUACGGAGGGUGCGAGCGUUAAUCGGAAUUACUGGGCGUAAAGCGCAUGCAGGCGGCCUGUUAAGUCAGAUGUGAAAGCCCGGGGCUUAACCUCGGAAUUGCAUUUGAAACUGGCAGGCUAGAGUCUUGUAGAGGGGGGUAGAAUUUCAGGUGUAGCGGUGAAAUGCGUAGAGAUCUGAAGGAAUACCAGUGGCGAAGGCGGCCCCCCUGGACAAAGACUGACGCUCAGAUGCGAAAGGCUGGGGGGAGCAAACAGGAUUAGAUA
rnacentral:rRNA from 1 species